rnacentral:lncRNA from 1 species
UUUUUUUAUAUUUUUGCCACUGUUUCUGACUUAGACAAAAUUAUGAUUUAAAGAUGCAAAAAGGUAAGAUAAUUAAUCUAGAAAUUUUAUGUAAGUUAGUAAUUAAUGUUAAAAAAAAUAUUAUUUACUUAUAAAUAGCUUAAUUAUUGAUUGUACAACAUAAAAUACACAAAAAAUAAAUACAUUUUUAAUCAAGUAUGUCAUUGAGUCCUGCAUAAUUGUUUUUGUAGUUUCAGCAUUUAUAUUCAUUAAAUAUUUAAACCUAUUUUUUAACUUUAUUCUUUUAUAUCCUC